rnacentral:lncRNA from 1 species
GGAAAGUGAAAAAUCUCAAUGUAGCCCCCUAAGGCCAUAACCCAGCCUUUCUGUCUCCUCAACUUGAGGCUGAAGAACACUGACAUCCUAUUGAGCUACAGUGUUAACAAAUUUAUCUUUGGUGCAUGGGAGGGAAAACAGCAACUCAACUUUUGCUCCUGCCUUCCAGGCCCUGGAAUAAGAUUACUUUUCCCACCCCACCCCAAUCUUUCUGAAAACUAGCUGUUGGAAGUAUCUCAGUGC